GAUGAAGAACGCAGCGAAAUGCGAUAAGUAAUGUGAAUUGCAGAAUUCAGUGAAUCAUCGAAUCUUUGAACGCACAUUGCGCCCGCCAGUAUUCUGGCGGGCAUGCCUGCUCGAGCGUCAUUACAACCCUCAGGCCCCCGGGCCUGGCGUCGGGAUCGGCGGAGCCCCCCGUGGGCACACGCCGUCCCCCAAAUACAGUGGCGGUCCCGCCGCAGCUUCCAUCGCGUAGUAGCUAACACCUCGCGACUGGAGAGCGGCGCGGCCACGCCGUAAAACACCCAACUCUUCUGAAGUUGACCUCGAAUCAGGUAGGAAUACCCGCUGAACUUAAGCAUAUCAAUAAGCGGAGGA
rnacentral:misc_RNA from 1 species